UACGAAGGGUGCAAGCGUUAAUCGGAAUUACUGGGCGUAAAGCGUGCGUAGAUGGCCUGUUAAGUCGGAUGUGAAAGCCCCGGGCUCAACCUGGGGAUGGCAUCCGAUACUGGUGGGCUAGAGUGCGGUAGAGGAGAGCGGAAUUCCCGGUGUAGCGGUGAAAUGCGCAGAUAUCGGGAGGAACACCGGUGGCGAAGGCGGUUCUCUGGGCCUGUACUGACGCUGAGGAGCGAAAGCGUGGGGAGCGAACAGG
rnacentral:rRNA from 1 species